rnacentral:tRNA from 1 species
UGCCCCAUGGCUGAGUUGGUCACAGCGUCCGACUGUUAAUCGGAAGGUCGUGAGUUCAAACCUCACUGGGGCAG